rnacentral:antisense_RNA from 1 species
UAUUAUGGCGAGCUGUGCGCAGGAGGCUUUGGCCUGCCGGGUUCCUUUGUUUCCGGUCUGCAAACCUGUGUACGGCUCGCCACCUUU